GGGAACGAUCAGGGUUGGCGAUGAGUUGGUGCAAACCUGAUCCCAGAAGGGGCAGGCUGAUGCGUCUUGUGGGGCUGCUGGCCUUUGAUCAACACAGACCGAGGGUUGCUGCCCCGGGCACGGAUCUCAGUCAGCCCCACCAUCUGGGCACUGCGGUCUGUGCCUCGGGCUGGAGGCAGGUGAGUGAUAACCACGUACACGGGUUAACAGCCUUCCUUCCAUCAGAAAUGACACCAGUGACUAAAAGGAACUAGGCAGAAAUCAACACUAAGUCAAAUAUUUGAAGGAAGCUGAUAAGUUCGUCCUUUGAGGGCCACAGGCCGUGGGUGGAGAAGACUGAGCAGGGGCGGCAUCCUCAGCCUGCUGGACGCCAGGGGAGGUCACCUCUGUCCAUACUCUUCAGCCAUCUGCCAGGAAUAGAGUCGAAAGCGGGCUGAACUCCUAAUAUCGCCGUAUUACCAAGGGGAAAGGUUGGCUUUUGGAUGUUGAAAGAAUAUGGCAAUUUGACACAAACACUCUAAUUUGGUUGGUUUACAAAAGGGCCGUGUGAUGGAAAUGGAAUAUGAGGAGCUCAGGGGACACACUGCAGCCACGUUAAGCAUGAAUUAUGGAUAAGGGAACGGAGUAAGAUGACAGCAGCUUCCAGCUCUGGCCAAAUACCCGCAUAGGGAACGAAUUAUUGCUAGACUUUAACAAAACAAUGCUGUUGUUUUCUGAGCCAAGGGACUGGAAAGUUCUUUUUAAGCUUUGCUAAUGGGAGACAGGUCAUCUGUGGAUCUGAUCCUUGUCAUGGAGCAGUUGAACCUGUCCCCACCUGCCUGCAGUUAACGAGGCUGCGGCUGAACUCUGCUGUGCUGGAAACGGCGCCGUGUGACUUAAGUAGGCUGAUGGAGAGUUAAAAAUACAAGUUGCCUUGGCAAGGCUUUUGCAAACACCUGCCUUGCAGGCUGUCCUCCCACACAGCGACCUUGGGAAAGCCAGGAAGAGCUGAGUAGGGGGAGCACCGCACUUCCCGGGGCACUGGCGGCGUCUCUGUCCUCUUGCAGAAUUUGCACAUGUGGCAAUCAGCAGGGGCUUGGUGGUGGACCAGCCUGGUCCUAGGAGGACUCACGACUCUGAGGAGGACGUGGUGGCUGCUCAGCCCUCUAAUCUGCUUGUUGACCAAGUCAGCAAGGGACUGGGUUCUAGUCUCCCAGAGGAAGGGCCGGUGCCCCAAGAGUGGCUCUGAUGGGGUGGCAGUGGUCAAGGGGCCCGCUGAGGAGGUAGCUGCCACGUCUAUCUUAGAGAAACGAAAAGGCAGCGUUUGUCCUAACAUUGGGCGAGGGA
rnacentral:lncRNA from 1 species